rnacentral:rRNA from 1 species
CCCUUAGAUGUUCUGGGCUGCACGCGCGCUACACUGGUGCGUUCAGCGAGUUUAGCACCUUAACAGAUAUGUUUGGGUAAUCUUCUGAAAACGCACCGUGAUGGGGAUCGAUUAUUGUAAUUAUUAAUCGUCAACGAGGAAUUCCUAGUAAGUGUGAAUCAUCAGUUCGCGCUGAAUACGUCCCUGCCCUUUGUACACACCGCCCGUCGCUCCUACCGAUUGAGUGGUCCGGUGAGGCUUUGGGAUCUGAGCGGAAAGAGCGUUUCGCUGUUUCUGCUCGGAAAACUCAGUCGAACCUUAUCAUUUAGAGGAAGGAGAAGUCGUAACA